AGAGUUUGAUCAUGGCUCAGAUUGAACGCUGGCGGCAUGCUUUACACAUGCAAGUCGAGCGGCAGCGCGGGGGCAACCCUGGCGGCGAGCGGCGAACCGGUGAGUAAUACAUCGGAACGUGUCCCGUAGUGGGGGAUAGCUCGGCGAAAGCCGGAUUAAUACCGCAUAUGCUCUACGGAGGAAAGCGGGGGAUCCGCAAGGACCUCGCGCUAUGGGAGCGGCCGAUGUCCGAUUAGCUUGUUGGUGGGGUAACGGCUUACCAAGGCGACGAUCGGUAGCUGGUCUGAGAGGAUGAUCAGCCACACUGGGACUGAGACACGGCCCAGACUCCUACGGGAGGCAGCAGUGGGGAAUUUUGGACAAUGGGGGAAACCCUGAUCCAGCCAUGCCGCGUGAGUGAAGAAGGCCUUCGGGUUGUAAAGCUCUUUUGGCCGGGAAGAAAAGGCUACGGAUAACACCCGUGGUCCUUGACGGUACCGGCAGAAUAAGCACCGGCUAACUACGCGCCAGCAGCCGCGGUAAUACGUAGGGUGCGAGCGUUAAUCGGAAUUACUGGGCGUAAAGCGUGCGUAGGCGGUCCGCAAGUCCGUUGUGAAAGCCCCGGGCUUAACCUGGGAAUGGCAGUGGAAACUAGGGGACUUGAAUCUGGCAGAGGGGGGUGGAAUGCCACGUGUAGCAGUGAAAUGCGUAGAGAUGUGGCGGAACACCGAUGGCGAAAGCAGCCCCCUGGGCUGAGAUUGACGCUCAGCACGAAAGCGUGGGGAGCAACAGGAUUAGAUACCCUGGUAGUCACGCCCUAAACGAUGAUCACUAGUGUUGGGGAAGCGAUUUCUCAGUACCGCAGCUAACGCGUGAAGUGAUCGCUGGGAGUACGUCGCAGAUUAAAACUCAAAGGAUUGACGGGACCCGCACAAGCGUGAUGAUGUGAUUAUUCGAUGCACGCGAU
rnacentral:rRNA from 1 species